CAAGUACUCCCUCCGUCCAGAAUUACUUGUCAUCAAAAUGGAUGUGUCUAGAGCUAAAAUACAUCUAGAUACAUCCAUUUCAAUGACAAGUAUUUUCGGACGGAGGGAGUACAAG
rnacentral:pre_miRNA from 1 species